rnacentral:rRNA from 1 species
GCGGUGGAGCAUGUGGUUUAAUUCGAAGCAACGCGAAGAACCUUACCAGGUCUUGACAUCCCGAUGCUAUUUCUAGAGAUAGAAAGUUACUUCGGUACAUCGGUGACAGGUGGUGCAUGGUUGUCGUCAGCUCGUGUCGUGAGAUGUUGGGUUAAGUCCCGCAACGAGCGCAACCCCUAUUGUUAGUUGCCAUCAUUCAGUUGGGCACUCUAGCGAGACUGCCGGUAAUAAACCGGAGGAAGUGGGGAUGACGUCAAAUCAUCAUGCCCCUUAUGACCUGGGCUACACACGUGCUACAAUGGUUGGUACAACGAGUUGCGAGUCGGUGACGGCGAGCUAAUCUCUUAAAGCCAAUCUCAGUUCGGAUUGUAGGCUGCAACUCGCCUACAUGAAGUCGGAAUCGCUAGUAAUCGCGGAUCAGCACGCCGCGGUGAAUACGUUCCCGGGCCUU